rnacentral:sRNA from 1 species
AGGGCCACCGGGUCCACCAUCCGCUUGACCAGCAUGUAGUCCCGCAUGGCGAUCCCGUGCCGUCCCUC